GCUGCAUGGCUGUCGUCAGCUCGUGUCGUGAGAUGUUCGGUUAAGUCCGGCAACGAGCGCAACCCACAUCCUUAGUUGCCAGCAGUUCGGCUGGGCACUCUAAGGAAACUGCCCGUGAUAAGCGGGAGGAAGGUGUGGAUGACGUCAAGUCCUCAUGGCCCUUACGGGUUGGGCUACACACGUGCUACAAUGGCAUCUACAGUGAGCAGCGAUCCCGCGAGGGCUAGCUAAUCUCCAAAAGAUGUCUCAGUUCGGAUUGUUCUCUGCAACUCGAGAGCAUGAAGGCGGAAUCGCUAGUAAUCGCGGAUCAGCAUGCCGCGGUGAAUACGUUCCCAGGCCUUGUACACACCGCCCGUCACGCCAUGGGAGUUGGUUCUACCCGAAGGUAGUGCGCUAACCCGCAAGGGAGGCAGCUAACCACGGUGGGAUCAGCGACUGGGGUGAAGUCGAAACAAGGUAGCCGUAGGGGAACCUGCGGCUGG
rnacentral:rRNA from 1 species